rnacentral:misc_RNA from 1 species
GGGGUUGAAUAUCUUCACCAUCGGCCAUCUUUUACUGCUUCAAAACUUUCAACAAACUUCAAAACUUUCACAGGCAGAUCCAACUGCAGCUUAACAAAUCAAUGAUAGAGACGCCAAGAGAUUGAGAGAGUGAUUAAUUAGAUAUUAACAGAGAAAAGGGACCUUAAUUAGAAGAAGAAGAAGAAGAACAAGAGAGUAUAAGAGAGAAAGCACCG